rnacentral:rRNA from 1 species
CAGCAGCCACGGUAAUACGAAGGGUGCAAGCGUUACUCGGAAUUACUGGGCGUAAAGCGUGUGUAGGUGGUUGUUUAAGUCUGUCGUGAAAGCCCUGGGCUCAACCUGGGAAUUGCGAUGGAUACUGGGCGACUAGAGUGCGGUAGAGGAUAGUGGAAUUUCCGGUGUAGCAGUGAAAUGCGUAGAGAUCGGAAGGAACAUCUGUGGCGAAGGCGACUAUCUGGGCCAACACUGACACUGAGACACGAAAGCGUGGGGAGCAAACAGGAUUAGAUACCCGUGUAGUCCCUGUCUCUUAUAC